rnacentral:rRNA from 1 species
GACGAACGCUGGCGGCGUGGAUAAGACAUGCAAGUCGAACGGGAUUUUUUUCUGUAGCAAUACAGGAAAAAGUCUAGUGGCGAACGGGUGCGUAACACGUGAGCAACCUGCCGUGAAGUGGGGGAUAGCCCGCCGAAAGGCGAAUUAAUACCGCAUGUGGCCAAGGAAGACAUCUUCCUGACGCCAAAGCCGGGGCAACCUGGCGCUUCUCGAGGGGCUCGCGGCCUAUCAGCUCGUUGGUGAGGUAACGGCUCACCAAGGCUAUGACGGGUAGCUGGUCUGAGAGGACGACCAGCCACACUGGAACUGAGACACGGUCCAGACACCUACGGGUGGCAGCAGUCGAGAAUUUUUCACAAUGGGGGAAACCCUGAUGGAGCGACGCCGCGUGGAGGAUGAAGGUUUUCGGAUUGUAAACUCCUGUCAUUAGAGAACAAGGCACACGGUUUAACUGGCCGUGUGUUGAUAGUAUCUGAAGAGGAAGAGACGGCUAACUCUGUGCCAGCAGCCGCGGUAA